GCGGCCCUUGGUGCCGUGAUCCAGCAAUGCAGGAAGGCUCCUGCUGCUUGAGCUUAUCCCCCUAAGAUCGCCGCGGAAGCAUCCACGAGUCGGCUUUCGACCCGUUGCAGACAUUUCGAUAUGAUC
rnacentral:misc_RNA from 1 species